UACGAAGGGGGCUAGCGUUGCUCGGAAUCACUGGGCGUAAAGCGCACGUAGGCGGAUUGUUAAGUCAGGGGUGAAAUCCUGGAGCUCAACUCCAGAACUGCCUUUGAUACUGGCGAUCUCGAGUCCGGGAGAGGUGAGUGGAACUGCGAGUGUAGAGGUGAAAUUCGUAGAUAUUCGCAAGAACACCAGUGGCGAAGGCGGCUCACUGGCCCGAUACUGACGCUGAUGUGCGAAAGCG
rnacentral:rRNA from 1 species